UCCGGUUUGGCACCGGCAGUCCUUUUAGAGUCCCCGGCAUUACCCGCUGGCAACUAAAAGCAGGGGUUGCGCUCGUUGCGGCACUUAAGCCAACAUCUCACGACACGAGCUGACGACAGCCAUGCACCACCUGUGCACUGACCCUUGCGGGCUGCCGUAUUUCUACGACAUUCCAGUGCAUGUCAAGCCCUGGUAAGGUUCUUCGCGUUGCGUCGAAUUAAACCACAUGCUCCACCGCUUGUGCGGGCCCCCGUCAAUUCCUUUGAGUUUCAGUCUUGCGACCGUACUCCCCAGGCGGAGUGCUUAAUGUGUUGACGUCGGCACAGCAGGGGUCGAUACCCGCUACACCAAGCACUCAUCGUUUACGGCGUGGACUAC
rnacentral:misc_RNA from 1 species